AACGGUGGAUAUCUAGGUUCUCAUAUCGAGGAAGAACGCAGCGAACUGCGAAAAGCAAUGCGAAUUGCAGGAUCCGCGAGCCAUCAGAUUUUCGAACGCAAUAAGCGUCAGUGGAUAAUUCCCACUGGCAUGUCUGCUUCAGUGUAGAAUCCAUUACAAUCUAAAUGCUUUUGGAAGUCUUAGGACUUGCUUGAGUUAAAAAUUGGCGGUCUCUGGCCCGUCCAGCGAAGUAGACUCACUUCGGUGAGGUUCGUUGGGCAGCGGGUUUUAGGGUCUGCUGAGCAAAGAGUCUUUGGAAAUAUUUUACUACCUGAAGUUGGCAAGAUGACCUGCCGAAUUUAAGCAUAUUAUUAAGCAGAGGAAAAGAAAUCAACAGAGAUUGCCUUAGUAAUGGCGAAUGAACAGGCAAAAGCCCAGAGUUAAAAUCCGCUUCUGUGCAAGAAGUGGAGUUGUAAUCUCUAGAUGUCAGCAAGUCGGAGUUCUAUCGCAUAAUUUACUAGAAAUAGUAAGACAAAGAGGGUGAAAUCCCCGUAUUGGGCGAACGAACGAGGACAACUGCGGCACUCACAGAGUCGAGCUCCUUGGGAUUGGAGUUCAAAUUAGGAGAUAGCUUCUUCUAAGGCUAAAUAUCGAUGAGAAACCGAUAGCAAACAAGUACUGUGAAGGAAAGAUGAAAAGUAUUUUGAAAAGAAGGUUAAAAGACUUGAAACCGUUGAGAAGGAAGCGAUAGAAUCUGGCUACUUUCGAAGAAGAAGGUCUCUUUGGGGAGAAAGCGUGGCGUAAAAGCGCGGUGACUCUCUGUAUGGAGGUACUUACCUUCGAAAAAGGCAAAAUGAACUUCGAGGCUCUUAAUAGCUCCGGCGAAAGACCCUCGGGGUUCAGGAAUGAUUUUGCCAAAACGGAUUUUACCGACCCGUCUUGAAACACGGACCAAGGAGUCUAACAAGCGUGCGAGUCUGCGGGUGUCAAACCCAUAGGCGCAAUGAAAGUAAGAAUAAGAUGCACAGGAAUUUAUCUGUCAGCAUCGGCUGCUCCUGAUCUUUUGAGAAGGACGUACGCAAGAGCACGGUUGCUAGGACCCGAAAGAUGGUGAACUAUGCUUGAGUAGGGUGAAGUCAGGAGAAAUUCUGAUGGAGGCUCGAAGCGGUACUGACGUGCAAAUCGUUCGUCGAACUUGAGUAUAGGGGCGAAAAACCAAUCGAACCAUCUAGUAGCUGGUUCCCUCUGAAAUUUCUCUCAGGAUAGCAAGAACUAGAAGUAGUUUUAUCAGGUAAAGCAAAUGAUUAGAGGAUUGGGGACUCAAGUAGUCUCCACCUAUUCUCAAACUUUAAAUAGGUAAGAACCAGCUGUUUGCUUAAUUGAACAGCUGGAUAGAAUACUUGUUCUUAGUGGGCCAAUUUUGGUAAGCAGAACUGGCGAUGAGGGAUGCUCCUAAAGCUGAGUUAAGGUGCCUAAAUCACAAUCAUCAGAUACCAUAAAAGGCGUUGAUUUAUUAAGACAGCAGGACGGUGACCCUAGGAGCAGGUAUCCGCUAAGAAGUGCUCCCCGCAUACCUGCCAAAUGAGUCAGCCCUGAAAAUGGAUGGCGCUAUAUUGUGAUACCGACACUCGGCCAACAUGGCUAGAAGAGGCCUUGUUGAGUAAGAGGGCGUGGGCAUAGUGCCGAAGCUGAGGUGUGAACCGAGGUGGAACUGUGCCUAGUGCAGAUCUUGGUGGUAGUAGCAAUUAUUCAAAUGAGAAUUUUGAAGGCCGAAGUGGAGAAGGGUUCCAUGAGAACAGUAUUUGGUCAUGGGUUACUCGAUCCUAAGACAGAGCGGAAGCGCUUUCAACGAGAAGUUUUUUCUCGAAGUCGAAAGGGAAUGAGGUUAACAUUCCUCAAGCUGGUCGCGGGCAGAGUGUGGCAACACAAGCAAGCUCAGAGACAUCAGCGCGAACUCCUGGAAGAGUUUUCUUUUCUUCUUAACUGUCUCAAGCCAUGGAAUUGGAUUAUCCAGAGAGAUGGCUGUAAGGCAGGUAGAGCAGUCCCUUUGGACUGUCAGGUGCGUUCGCGAUGAUCCUUGAAAAUCUGAGGGAGAGUCUUAAACUCGCGCCAGAUCGUACCAACAACCGCAUCAGGUCUCCAAGGUUAGCAGCCUCUGGUCAACUAGAAGAAUGUAGGUAAGGGAAUUCGGCAAAAUAGAUCCGUACCUUCGGAAAAAGGAUUGGCUCUGAGGAACGAGCGGACCGGCGAAAGAAGUAGCCUUAGAAUAACUUCCAACAAGGGAUUCGCAAGAGUCUUGAGUUGGAGGUUUGAAUUCGGAAACUCCUGGAGUCCCCGCAAUAAACGUUUAACUCAGAACUGAAGCGGACAAGGGGAAUCUAACUGUUUAAUAAAAACAUAGCAUUGUGAUGUCCCGAAAGGGAGUUGACACAAUGUGAUUUCUGCCCAGUGCUCUGUACGUUAAUGUGGAGAAAUUUGUCUAUGCCCGGGUAAACGGCGGGAGUAACUAUAACUCUCUUGAACUGCUACCUUGAGAGAGCAAUGUGAAGCAGUGAUGCUGAGCAAGUCGAAAAGCGAUUUUCGGCAACACGAUCAAAUUGCGGGGAAGUCCUGGAAAGGAAACAGUACCGUCUGGCUGUGGCAACACCGCCCAGACACGAAGUGUAAUGGCUUCGGUAUGGUAAUAAGCUGUUUUCAAUGGGAUAAUCCGCAGCCAACGACCUACACGGUUAGAGGUUCAUCGACUUGAUGGUUGUGGGCUCUUCGGAGCUUAAGAUAAAGUCAGUGACAGGGAAACCUGGUUGGAAAGACAUGGCUAUAAUCAUGUUCUCGUUAUUUGCUGAAGUCGCCGAAUUGGUCUCGGCGGCGAAGGGGUCGAAGUUGUUAAAUUGUUUAAAACGGUAAGAAUGACAAUUCUGUAAUUACCCGUCCUAACGGCUACAGACUGCACGGACAAGCCUUUUUAGGUCAACUUUGAUGGACAGUCGACUUUGUAAGUGUAUCCCUUAUGAAUAAAACAGCAAAAAUUUCAGUAAAAUGAUCAGCGAGAAGAACUGUCGCAGAAAUGCGCAGUGAGAUGUUGGAGAAUGGAGGUGUUUUCUUAGAGUGGUCCUACAAGAUCCAGUAAGAAGGCAACAAUACUCCCGAGAAUAGAAAUGCCUUUUGAACUAUCAGUGAAAAAGGAUUUUUUGUAUUCGAAAACGGGUGCAUUCUCCCCCAUCCUUAUUAUAGUAAGAAAGGAAGUGAAGGUCCUGCGUGAUUUCGUGGCCAUUGAGUUUCAAUGGACAUUUUUCACUAAAAACAAGAAUCGAGUGCAAAACGAAAUGAAGAUGGAUGGCCAAUGGAAGUUGAGAUUUCUCAUCUCUGCCACUGGUCAGACUGCUUAAACCCAGAACAUCUCAUUUACGAGCCUCGAUGGAAACACUGGAAAUGACUCUACUGUAUGGGAUGCGAUUGUAACGUAAAACCGAAAUGUUUGUCCAAGUUCCACCCCUCUUGCUUCUGGUAAGAUGAGUAGAACUGGCCAAAGAAAUUGGGUUACGAUCAAAUGUCCUUGCUGAAAGAGAAGUUGCCGGCUCUUGUUAAAAUUCUGCCUAAAGACUUCUACUGAAAAGUGGACCUGAAGGCUUAGAAUAAAUUCAAGUGAAUAAAGAAGAAGCGAAAACACGAUAAACAGGCGAGAUGAAAAAAGAGGUCUAAAAAGACUAAUUAAAUUAUCUAUGUAAAAAUUUCUUUCGAACAUGUGUAUCUAUUUAUUGAUAAAUGAAGGUAGCCAAAUGCCUCGCCAAGUAAUUUUUGGCGCGCAUGAAUGGAUCAAUGAGAUUCCUACUGUCCCUACCUACUAUCUAGCGAACCCACAGCCAAGGGAACGGGCUUGGCACAAUCAGCGGGGAAAGAAGACCCUGUUGAGCUUGACUCUAGUCUGACUUUGUGACAUGGCAAUUAAGGUAUAGUGUAGGUGGGAGAUUUUUCGUCAAUGUAACACCACUACUCAUUUAGUCAUUUUACUAACUCCGUGAAAUAGAAUCUUCGGAAAUUCAAGAUCUAAGGGCCUCUGGCCUGAUCUACGCGGAAGACAUAGUUAGAUGGGGAGUUUGGCUGGGGCGGUACUUCUGUUAAAUGAUAACGCAGGUGUCCUAAGGUGAGCUCAAAGAGAACAGAAAUCUCUUGUCGACCAAAAGGGGAAAAGCUCACUUGAUUUUGAUUUUCAGUAAAAAUACAAACUGUGAAAGCAUGGCCUAUUGAUCCUUUAUCUUUAUAAGUAUUAAGCUAGAGGUGUCAGAAAAGUUACCACAGGGAUAA
rnacentral:rRNA from 1 species